rnacentral:rRNA from 1 species
GAUGAACGCUAGCUACAGGCUUAACACAUGCAAGUCGCGGGGCAGCAUGGGGGUUGCUUGCAACCCCUGAUGGCGACCGGCGCACGGGUGAGUAACGCGUAUCCAACCUGCCCUUCACCACGGGAUAACCCGGCGAAAGUCGGACUAAUACCGUAUGUUGUCCAUUGACGGCAUCCGAUUUGGACGAAAGGCUUGGCGGUGAAGGGAUGGUGAUGCGUCCGAUUAGCUUGACGUCGGGGGUACGGCCCACCGUGGCUACGAUCGGUAGGGGUUCUGAGAGGAAGGUCCCCCACACUGGAACUGAGCCACGGUCCAGACUCCUACGGGAGGCAGCAGUGAGGAAUAUUGGUCAAUGGGCGUAAGCCUGAACCAGCCAAGUAGCGUGCAGGAUGACGGCCCUAUGGGUUGUAAACUGCUUUUAUGCGGGGAUAAAGUGGCCCACGUGUGGGCUUUUGCAGGUACCGCAUGAAUAAGGACCGGCUAAUUCCGUG